GUAUGGUAUUCCAUCAGCGUUGCAAGUAGCAUGUGCUAAUUCAUGGAUUGAGAUGGUAGACUUGCUGCUACAACAUCAAGCAAACAUAAACUAUCAUGAGGAAUCGGGUGGACGGACAGCUCUACAUUAUGCUUGUGUGAAUGGUCAUUUGUCUGUUGUGGAGAAAUUAUUGUCAGCAGGUUGUAAGAAAGAAGCAAGGACUAAUAGUGGAAGGACAGCUCUGCAUUAUGCUUGUGAUGAUGGUUAUG